UACAGAGGGUGCGAGCGUUGUCCGGAAUCACUGGGCGUAAAGGGCGCGUAGGCGGCUUCUUAAGCGUGUGGUGAAAGCGCGGGGCUCAACCCCGCGUCGGCCGUGCGAACUGGGGAGCUGGAGCACGUCAGAGGCAGGCGGAAUUCCGGGUGUAGCGGUGGAAUGCGUAGAGAUCCGGAAGAACACCGGUGGCGAAGGCGGCCUGCUGGGCAGUGGCUGACGCUGAGGCGCGACAGCGUGGGGAGCAAACAGG
rnacentral:rRNA from 1 species